CCGUGGCCCCCAGCCAGGCCACCAGAGUGGGCCCCGCGCUCAGGUGGGACGCCAGGAUCUUCUUCAUGGCCCCGCCCACAAACACCGUCACCACGGCCAGGUCUUUAUUUUGCUAACAUGAGUAGCGGGGUCCUGCGACGGACCAGCGACCCGUCCAGGGUGACCCCGCCUCUUGCCCGUUGACAGCUGGAGAGGCAGCAGCACCCCUUCUGACCCCAGUGGGACGAGGCUGGAAGAAAAUGGAUGGACGGACGGUAGCGGGGUCCGGGUUAGGACCUGGACCUCCUUCCUGGUCUCCGGAGCGCGGGCCCAGAGGAAGGAUUUCUGCGGCACACACACAGGAACGAUCCAAGCUCCAUCUAAACCAGGGGUCUCAAACUCCAGUCCUCGAGGGCCGCAGACCUACAGUUUUUAGAUGUGCCACAGGUGGUGCAGCAGAGGCUCAUCUAAAAGUUGCAGGACUGCGGC